rnacentral:rRNA from 1 species
GAUGAACGCUGGCGGCGUGCCUAAUACAUGCAAGUCGAGCGGAAAGGCCACUUCGGUGGUACUCGAGCGGCGAACGGGUGAGUAACACGUGAGUAAUCUGCCCCUGGCUUUGGGAUAGCCACCGGAAACGGUGAUUAAUACCGGAUAUGACCACUUCUCGCAUGGGAUGGUGGUGGAAAGUUUUUCGGCCAGGGAUGUGCUCGCGGCCUAUCAGCUUGAUGGUGAGGUAAUGGCUCACCAUGGCUUCGACGGGUAGCCGGCCUGAGAGGGUGACCGGUCACACUGGGACUGAGACACGGCCCAGACUCCUACGGGAGGCAGCAGUGGGGAAUAUUGGACAAUGGGCGGAAGCCUGAUCCAGCAACGCCGCGUGAGGGAUGACGGCCUUCGGGUUGUAAACCUCUUUCAGUACCGACGAAGCGCAAGUGACGGUAGGUACAGAAGAAGCACCGGCCAACUACGUGCCAGCCGCCGCAGUAA